CCUGUCUGCGGCGCAGCGGAGCGGGGAGAGCUCAGAUUUAUAAUCUGGCCCCUUCCGGGUCCGAGUUGGAAUCUCUCUAAGUGUUUUCCGCGUGGGACCGCCCACAAGUCUGUUGGAAUACUGCGGCUAUUGGGGAGACCCCCCCAUAUGGUGCGGACGCCCCCCGCUUUGUGAUAGUUUUCUAAAAAUCAAGUUGUUUGGGAAUGCGCCUCAAAUUGGGGGGGAAAUUCCAUCUAAAGCUAAAUAUUGGGGAAAAACCGAUAGCGAACAAGUACCGUGGGGGAAAAAUGAAAAACACUUUGUAAAAAAAAUUAACAGUACGUGAAAUUGUUGGAAGGGAAACGCUUGAAAUCAAACUUGUUUGCCGAGCAAUCGGUUUGCAGGCCACCAUCAGUUUUCCGGGAUGGAUAAUGGUAGAAAAAAGGUAGCAAUUUCGGCUGUGUUAUAGCUCUCUCCUGGAUACAUCUUGGGGGACUGAGGAACGCACGGUGCCUUUGGCGGGGGUUUCGACCUCUUCCCACUUAUGAUGCUGGUGGAAUGGCUUUAAACGACCCGUCUUGAAACACGGACCACACA
rnacentral:rRNA from 1 species